GGGGAUGUAGCUCAGUGGUAGAGCGCGUGCUUCGCAUGUACGAGGCCCCGGGUUCAAUCCCCGGCAUCUCCA
rnacentral:tRNA from 1 species